CGCUGCUCAGCCCGUCCUCAGAAGAAGCGGUCGCCCGCGGCAGCUCCUUCCCCAGCGGCCCAUUGUCCUGCGGGGCCGGGGGACAAGCAGGGCAGGGCAGGGCACCGCGGCGAGACCCUGCUAUCGGCCCGCCCUCGGGCUGAGGGAAGCAGAACCGAGCCCUCCUCGGGUGGGCCCCGCCGGGGGGGCCCGUACCGCGACCUGGCGCCCGGGAGCCUCCCCGGAGCGGCGGGGCGGGCGAGGGGUGGGUUGGGCUCCCGAUGAGCCGCGUCCCGGCCGGCGGAGCUCGGCGCCUCUCGGGGCUUCGUGCUCGCCAAGGCCGGUUCCGUGCGUCAGCAGACCGCUUCCCCUUCCUCACCCCGGCCCCUCUGCACCGCGGUCUGUCUGCCCAGGGAUGAUGUCAAUGAAAAUGUUGCCGUAGAGGUGAAUCACAAAAAGCAGAUGAGUAAUCAGAAGAAAAGCAGCAGCAUACUCUUAAAAAUUAGGGUUCCUAAUCGCGCCCCUCGUACUGUCAAAUAGCAUCAGCAAAUGUAACCACAAGCCUCUGUAGACGUAUGAUUUAUCAGGAAAAGAAUUUGUAUUGUGCUGCAGGCUAUUCAGUGAGGACUGAAGUCUCUUUUUGUUUCUGCAGACGUACUCUCCUGAGAUGCUGACCUCACUUGUUUAACGAUUUCUAUCCAGCUACUGCAUUCUGAACAGCAGCUAUAUGAAGGAGUUCUGACCGACUGUAAGAACCAGGGAAAGGCUCAUCUUAGUGCUGAAUUAUAAAUGAACAACCGGAUCUUGGGAUUCUUCUUCUAGUUCGAAAAUAAAAUUAACCGGAUCGAGGGACAGUUUUCUAACACAAUGAUGCAAGCCCCUGGCUCAGGGGCUUGCUGUCUACCUCAAUCAUGGGCUAAAAAGAUUGAAAAUAAUACACAACACCAGAAAUUAGGGAGGAGUCUGGCGCCAUUCAGUGCUAAAGGCCUGAGAGAAGACAUUGAUAUGAAGGAAGAGGAGACAAAACUAUGUUCAAAGUCAAGAGGACGUCAACACCAAAGACCCAUCUCAGUUUUACUUUCCUACUGGAUGCAACCUCAAGACCUGCUGGAGGGAGAAUCACCUCUGUGCAUGUAGCCAGUCCUUGCUGUAUUUCUAGGUGUCUCAUAGCUUGACCUGAGUUUUUAACAUUAAACAGAUGCAUAUCUAGGUAGGUCCUAAGAGAUGCGUUUUUAUUUUUUUGCAUCCUCCAACCACAACCACCAAAAUAGCUCUCGGGCCAUCAACUACGGCCCUGGGGAACAGGGAAGGUUCUUCAGCUCUCUCCUUGUAUUACAGGCCCGGAUUAGGCUGAUUUAGCCUUAUUUUUUGUAAAUAAGGCACCAGGAUCUGCCAGCAACAUUCCUCUCAUUUUAUCUGAUCUCAUAAGAAUUAUUUUUAGUAAGAACUGGUUUGCCCUGAAAGAAAGCUAUUCUCUAAAAAAAGCUUUGUACACUUAAGACAUAUGGGACAGAAGGAAGCCUGCAUCUAGCAUUACAUUUUUUUUCAGUCACCAGAAAAACCCUGAAAUUGCCCUUUUUAGCAAGCAGAAAAGAUAAAUGGGUUGGUUCUGAAUCAAAAAAUAAUAGAUAUGCCUUGUGCCAUUCUUGACAACCUUUUCUGAAGCCUCAUUAGCUCACAGAACACAUGCACAACUCCUACCGCUUUUUAUAAGAAAGUUACACAGGUAUAAUUCCACCAAAAUAACAGUUGAAUAGCUGUAGUAGAAUGGGAGCUAUUUCUGUCGCUUCUCUCACAAAAAAUUAAUUGAAAUAAAUACUUUACAGCAGCAGCAACAUCAGCCAGUCCCCGCUUCCGACAAGCUUACAAGCACUGCAGACGUUGCUUAGGGUCAUCAUACUCUGUAUUUUGGUACACAGACUUAGUGAAUGGCAUGCAUGAUAUGCUUACUAAGCUACUUUGGAUAAACAUGGAAAAAAUCUAGUGGUGCAGUUGUCACAGACCAGCAUGGUUUCAUGUGCUAUGUGAUUUGAAGGGAGAUUCCUUUGCUGUGUGUCAUUUACCUUUUAUACACUGCUGUUGCUCAGUAUUUCA